rnacentral:rRNA from 1 species
GGAAUUUUCCGCAAUGGGGGAAACCCUGACGCAGCAACGCCGCGUGUGUGAUGAAGGCCUUCGGGUUGUAAAGCACUGUUGAGAUGGGAAGUGGCCCCGACGGUACCAUCUGAGGAAGCACCGGCUAACUCCGUGCCAGCAGCCGCGGUAAUACGGAGGGUGCAAGCGUUGUUCGGAAUUAUUGGGCGUAAAGCGUGCGUAGGCGGACCGUUAAGUCUGAUGUGAAAUCCCUCGGCUCAACCGAGGACGUGCAUUGGAUACUGGCGGUCUUGAGUCUCGGAGAGGAGAGCGGAAUUCCUAGUGUAGAGGUGAAAUUCGUAGAUAUUAGGAGGAACACCAGUGGCGAAAGCGGCUCUCUGGACGAUGACUGACGCUGAGGCACGAAAGCAUAGGUAGCAAACAGGAUUAGAUACCCCAGUAGUC